UUCUCAGGCUCCCUCUCCGGAAUCGAACCCUAAUUCUCCGUCACCCGUUAAUGCCACGGUAGUCCACUACAGUACCGUCGAAAGCUGAUAGGGCAGAAAUUUGAAUGAACUGUCGCCAGCGUGAAGCCGUGCGAUCCGUUAAAGUUACUAUGAAUCACCAAAGGAGCAGUUGCCUGCAUUGGUUUUUAAUCUAAUAAAUACAUCCCUUCCAAAAAGUCGGGACUUUACGCAUGUAUUAGCUCUAGAAUUACUACGGGUAUCCAUGUAGUAAGGUACCAUCAAAUAAAUAAUAACUGAUAUAAUGAGCUGUACGCAGUUUCACUGUAUAAAGAUGUUUAUACUUAGACAUGCAUGGCUUAAUCUUUGAGACAAGCAUAUGACUACUGGCAGGAUCAACCAG
rnacentral:rRNA from 1 species